rnacentral:rRNA from 1 species
GACGAACCGUGCGAACGUUGUUCGGAAUCACUGGGCUUAAAGGGCGCGUAGGCGGCCACACAAGUCAGGGGUGAAAUCUUUCGGCUCAACCGGAAAAGUGCCUCUGAUACUGUGUGGCUCGAGGGAGGUAGGGGCGGACGGAACUUCCGGUGGAGCGGUGAAAUGCGUUGAUAUCGGAAGGAACGCCGGUGGCGAAAGCGGUCCGCUGGCCCUCUUCUGACGCUGAGGCGCGAAAGCCAGGGGAGCAAACGGG